UACAGAGGUCUCAAGCGUUGUUCGGAUUCAUUGGGCGUAAAGGGUGCGUAGGCGGCGCGGUAAGUCGGGUGUGAAAUUUCGGAGCUUAACUCCGAAACUGCAUUUGAUACUGCCUUGCUUGAGGACUGGAGAGGAGACUGGAAUUCACGGUGUAGCAGUGAAAUGACGUAGAGAUCGUGAGGAAGACCAGUGGCGAAGGCGGGUCUCUGGACAGUUCCU
rnacentral:rRNA from 1 species